UACGGGGGGGGCAAGCGUUGUUCGGAAUUACUGGGCGUAAAGGGCGCGUAGGCGGCGUGACAAGUCACUUGUGAAAUCUCCGGGCUUAACUCGGAGCGGUCAAGUGAUACUGUCGUGCUAGAGUGCGGAAGGGGCUACUGGAAUUCUCGGUGUAGCGGUGAAAUGCGUAGAUAUCGAGAGGAACACCUGCGGCGAAGGCGGGUAGCUGGGCCGACACUGACGCUGAUGCGCGAAAGCCAGGGGAGCGAACGGG
rnacentral:rRNA from 1 species